CAAAAAUCAGCACCCCUGAAAAAUCUGCAUGCAGAAAUUUUCAGCAUGCAUGAUCAUUCAAUUUUCAGAUCUAAUAAGCCUUUAGAUAAUUAAUUCUUACCUUAAUCUAUGAAGCCUAGGCUCUGAUACCACUGUCGAGAACCCGCUGAUCAUGCCGCUGAAAAUUCAAAAAAUUCAGAUGCAGCGGAAGAGGCAUGUGCGGGAUCAACCGUUCAUCGCAUGAACGUUGUUUAAAAACCGUUCGUAGAUAGAUAAGGAUUAAAAACUUUUAAAUAACAUUAGAAGAUCAGAUCUUCACCUUUGUGCGGGUAGAUGAUCACCGCAAACUGAUGAUCGUGGUUUAGGAUGAAGGUUCGCUUGAAGCCGUUCAAGUGCCCGGCCUCUACGGGUAUCCACACGAAGCAGAAAACCGAUCCAAGCUUUCUAUCUCCCCGGGGUAAUAGCUCCCUUGCAGAGAUAACUUUGAUGGCUGAUAUCCUUCCUUUCAAUCAAUCCUUGAUUGUGCUUGGGAGGAGGAAGAAGAAGGAUGAAGAGAAGAAGAGGAACGAAGCCCUGCAGCCUUCUUUUUCUUCCUUGCAUUGGAACCAAACGGUGGAGGAAGAAGGAGGCCACCAAGAUCCUUUUCUUCCCUUUGUUGUUGGUGGCUGAAAAGAGAGGAGAGGAGGGUGGCCACGUGAUGGAGAGGAGGAGGGCUUCUCAUAUCAUUAGGGCACCUCCUUUCAAAGCCUUAUAAAGGCAUCUAGGGCUCCUAUUUG
rnacentral:lncRNA from 1 species